AUCACUCCUUGUACUUUGGCUAAUAUCAAGUGCUGCAUCUGUUCUUAUCGGUUUAAUACUUGAUAUGUUCUCUAUCCAAAAGACAAUAUACUAAAUGGAUUUUUGGAAUUAAGAUAUAGACUAGGACCUUGCUCCAACCACUCCAUGCAUUGACCUGGUAUUGCAGUACCUCCAGGAACAGCGCACUCCAC
ensembl:snRNA U2 U2 spliceosomal RNA